rnacentral:tRNA from 1 species
GCCCUUAUAGCUCAAUUUGGUAGAGCAGCUCCCUUUUAAGGAGUUGGUUGGAGGUUCAAAUCCUCCCAGGGGCA